rnacentral:rRNA from 1 species
CGAAGGGUGCAAGCGUUACUCGGAAUUACUGGGCGUAAAGCGUGCGUAGGUGGUGAGUUAAGUCUGUCGUGAAAGCCCCGGGCUCAGCCUGGGAAUGGCGAUGGAUACUGGCUCGCUAGAGUGCGGUAGAGGAGAGUGGAAUUCCCGGUGUAGCAGUGAAAUGCGUAGAGAUCGGGAGGAACAUCAGUUGCGAAGGCGGCUCUCUGGACCAGCACUGACACUGAGGCACGAAAGCGUGGGGAGCAAACAGGAUUAGAUACCCUGGUAGUCCACGCCCUAAACGAUGCGAACUGGACGUUGGGAGCAAUCAGGCUCUCAGUGUCGAAGCUAACGCGUUAAGUUCGCCGCCUGGGGAGUACGGUCGCAAGACUG